GCGGACGGGUGAGUAACGCGUGGGUAACCUGCCUCAUACAGGGGGAUAACAGUUAGAAAUGACUGCUAAUACCGCAUAAGACCACGGUACCGCAUGGUACAGUGGUAAAAACUCCGGUGGUAUGAGAUGGACCCGCGUCUGAUUAGGUAGUUGGUGGGGUAAUGGCCUACCAAGCCGACGAUCAGUAGCCGACCUGAGAGGGUGACCGGCCACAUUGGGACUGAGACACGGCCCAGACUCCUACGGGAGGCAGCAGUGGGGAAUAUUGCACAAUGGAGGAAACUCUGAUGCAGCGACGCCGCGUGAAGGAUGAAGUAUUUCGGUAUGUAAACUUCUAUCAGCAGGGAAGAAAAUGACGGUACCUGACUAAGAAGCCCCGGCUAACUACGUGCCAGCAGCCGCGGUAAUACGUAGGGGGCAAGCGUUAUCCGGAUUUACUGGGUGUAAAGGGAGCGUAGACGGCACGGCAAGCC
rnacentral:rRNA from 1 species